GUCAAUUAUGUGUUCUGUAAAUUUGCUGAAUUUGUUUCUUAAUUUUAACAAGUUUUCUUUUUGGAGCCUUUAGAAUUUUCUCUGUAUAAGAUCAUGUCAUCUUGAAAUAGACACACUUUCACUUCUUUUCCAAUUUGGAUGCCUUUUAUUUCUUUUUCUUACCUAAUUGCUCUGGCUAAGACUUACAGACUUUUUCAGAAACCCCCCAGAGUAAUCUAGGGGAGUCCACUGUCACUAGAUCUGCUUUAUAAGAAACCCUAAAGGGAGUUCCUCAAACUGAAAUGCAAUAAGACUAAUUAGUAUCAUGAAACCAUAUGUAGUUAUAAAAAGUCACUGGUAACUAUACAGUCAAAUUCAAAAUACUCUUAAUACUGUAAUGAUGCAGUAUAAUCACUUUAACUUUUAAAAGGUUAAAAGACAAAAAAUACUACAAAUAAAUAUAAUUACAAAAUAUACAAAGAAAGAAACUCUGACAUCAAAAAACAUAAGUGGAGGGGAGUAAAGUGUAGGGUUUUUUUAUAUGAUUGAAGUUAAGUUGUUAUCAACUUAAAAUAGACCAUUAUAACUACAAUCAUGCAUUUCUUAAUGCAGAUAUGUUCUGAAUAAUGCAAUUUUGUCAUGGUGUGAAUAUCAUAGAGUAUACUUACACAAAAUUAGAUAAUACUAGCUAACACACACCCAGGCUAUAUGGUAUAACCUAUUGUUUCCAGGCUACAAAUCUGUACAGCACUGUACUAUACUGAAUGCUAUAGGCAACUGUAAUACAAUCAUAAGCAUUUGUAUAUCUAAUGUAUCUAAACAUAUGAAAGGUACAAUAAAAAUGUUAUAACCUUAUGGGACCACCGUUGUAUAUGUGGCCCAUCAUUGACCAAAACAUCCUUGUGUGGCACACGAUAGCAUACAAUGUUUUAUGUAAGCCUCAUGAUAAUCACAAAGACAAACAUGUAACAGAUACACAAAUGAGAAUUUUACCACAUGUUUAAAAAAGAAUUAAUACAAAGGCACAGCAAAGAAUCAAAGUAUACCACUACAGAAAAUAAUGAAAGUAAUCAAAUCAUGCACAGCAAGAGAGAAAUAAAAGAACAAAAAAACUACAAAAUGCCUAUCAAUAGUUACUUUAAAUAUCAGUGGACCAAAUCAGUGAAACAAAAGACACAGAGUGGCUGAAUGGAUAGUAUAACAAGAACCAAAUAUAUGCCACCUAUAAGAGACUCACUUCACCUUUAGAGACACACAUAGACUGAAAGAGAGGGAACAAAAAAAGACAAAGAGUAGCUAUUCUUACAACAAACAAAAUAGAUUUUAAGUCAAAAACUGUAACAAGAGACAAAGAAAGUCAUUAUAGAAUGAUACAAGGGUCAAUUCAUCAAGAGGAUAUAACUACUGCAAAUAUAUAUUCUCCCAACAUUGGAGCACCUAAUUAUAUAAAGCAAAUAUUAACAAAUCUGAAGAGAGAAGUGGACAACAAUAAUACAAUAACAGUAGGGGACUUCCAUAUCCCACUUUCAACAAUGGAUUAAUCAUUCAGACAGAUAAUCAUUAAAGAAACAGCUGACGUGAACUACACUAUAGAUCAAAUGGACCAGACAUAUACAUGACAUUCCUUUCCAAAACAGCAAAAUACACAUUCUUCUCGAGCAUACACAGUACAUUCUCCAACAUAGGUCAUAUAUUAGGCCAGAAAACAAGUCUUAGCAAAUUUAAGAAUAUUGAGAUCUCACCAAGUAUUCUUUUUGACUACAGUGGCAUGAAACUGAAAAUUAAAAACAGGAGAAAACUUAGAAAAGUGACAAAUAUGUGGAAAUCAACCAACACACUCCUCAAUAACCAGUAGAUCAAAGAAAACAUCAAAAAAGAAAUAAAAUAACUUGAGACAAACUAAAAUGAAAGCACGACAUACUAAAACUUAUGAGAUGAAGCAAAAGCCAUUCUAAGAGAGGGAAGUUUAUACAGAUAAGUGCUAAAUAAAGAAAAAAGAUCUCAAAUAAACCUCAAAAAAUAGAAAAAAAAAUCAAGCCCAAAAUUAGAAGAAGGAAAUAACAAAGAUCAUAGCAGAAAUAAAUGAAAUAGACUAGAAAAACAAUAGAAAAGAUCAAUGAAAUGAAGAGCUGAUUUUUUGAAAAGAUAAUAAAAAUUGACCAACCUAUCACUAGGCUAAGAAAAAAGAAAUCUCAAGUAAAUAAAAUUAGAACAAAAAAGGAGAUAUUAAAAUUGGUACCAUAGAAAUACAAAGGAUAAUAAUAGUCUAAACAACUAUGUGUCAACAAAUUGUUUAACUUAGAAUAGAGAAAUUUCUAGAAACAUACAUCCACUAAGACUGAAACAUGAAGAAAUAUAAAAUAAAAACAGAUAAAUAAUGAGUAAAAAUAUUGAGUCAGUAGUCAAAAAGCUCCUGAAAAAGGAAAAUCCAAGACAAGAUAGCUUAGUGGAGAAUUCUACCAAAUGUUUGAAGAAGAAUUAAUACCAUUUCUUCACAAACACUUCCAAAAGUUGAAGAGGAGGGAACACUUCCAAACAUUUUUUAUGAGGCCAGCAUUACCCUGAUAACAAAGACAGAAAAGAACACUACAAGGAUGACAGAUAUUUUUAAGGUACAAAUGAUGUAUUGCUGGAAUUGAAAAUACAGGCUUUGUUAGUACAAAGAUUUGUGUGUGGAUAGAUGGAUGUGUAUUGGUGUGUGCAUGCAUACAUAUACAAGCUUACCUUGUUUUAUUGCACUUCACUUUAUUAUGCUUCUCAGAUAUUGCAGUUUUUACAGGUUGAAGGUUUGUAGCAACCGUGCACCAAGCAAGUCUACCAGUGCCACUUUUCUGGUAGCAUGUGCUUAUUUUGCACCUCUGUGUUACAUCUUUGUAAUUCUUGUAGUAUUUCAAAUGUUUUGUUAUUAUUAUAUCUGUUAUGGUGAUCUGUUAUCAGUGAUCAUUGAUAUUACUAUUGUCAUUGUUUUGGGGCAUCACAAGCCAUGGUCCAAAAGACAAUGAGCUUAAUUGAUACCUAUGUGUAUUCGAAUGGUUCCAUCGAUCUGCCCUUCCUCCAUCUCCCCCUCUCCUCAGGUCUGUUUUCUGAGACACAGCAAUAUUGAAAUUAGGCCAAUUAAUAACUCUAUAAAGGCCUCUGUGUUCAAGUGAAAGUAAGAGUCACACAUCUCUUAUUAUAAAUCUAAAGUGAGAAAUGAUUAAGCUGAGUGAGGAAGGUAUGUUAAAAGCCGAGACAGGCCAAAAGGCCCAGGCUGGUCUCGAACGCCUGACCUCAAGCAAUCCACCUGCCGCAGCCUCCCAGGUAGCUGAGAUUAAAGGCAUGAGCCACCAUGUCCAGCUUCUAUGCAUUAUUUUAAAUGGAGUAUUGAAGACUCUAUUACUGUAGAACUAUUUCUAACUUCAAUUCUGUCAAUAUUUGGGUCACAGGCCUUAAUGUUAUUACACGCUAGUCUGAUGCUCAUGGCCAGGACAUUUUGUUUUCCUGUUGGACAUAAACAAUCUCACAGAAUAUCAACUUCAGAAGGUUAAUCUGAGACCGUGAUAAGUGCAAACAAAAACAAGGGCACUUUAUAAUGUUGUCUAAGUGCAGAUAAAAAACAAGGUCUUGAUGCCACCCACAAAAUACUUAAUAAUCAUAUUGCUCCUGCUUUCUGACAGCAUCCAAUCUAAAGUCUUCACUUUCUGAGAUCCUGUCCGAAAUCAACCAAUUAAAGCCCAAAUCGUAUAAUAGUUUCUCUCUAACUCCUCCCACUGAGAUGACCCAUAGUACCCCAUUCCUUGCUGCAAUGUAAUUACAAGUGUGCUCCUGGUGGUCUUUAACUGAAGGGCACUGACUGGGUACUGGUGAAGUUCCCCGCAGGAACUGAGUCAGACCCCAUCUCAGGGCCCUGCAGAAGAUAGGUGCCUGCUCUAAGGCGUGGACCCUCGCGACAGCCCUGGCCCGUCUUGACGGGCGAGGGUUACUGUACUUGUCCCAAUCGUACAGAUGAGAAAGCUCAGACUCAGGGCCAGCAACCCCGGUCCCAGCGGAGCGCCCGGCACGCGCCGACACUUCAGCACCAGUCGCGGUGGCCACCACUGUGCGCGGAGAUGGCUGCGACGCGUGCGCAGGGAAAUUUGUGCACAGAGAUAACACAGGGGAUAUGCCAUAUGAAGAUGAAGGCAGAAUUCUACAAGCCCAGGAAUGCCAAAGAUUGCCAGCAAACCACCAGAAGCUAGGAGAGAAGUGUGGAUUAGAUUCUUUCUCACAGCCCUCAGAAGGAACCAGCCCUGCCAAGAACUUGAUCUCAGACUUCUAGUCUCCAGAACUGUGAGACAGUGCAUUUUGUUCUGUAAGUCAGCCACAUGGUUUGUGGCACUUUGUUAUGGCAGCCCUAGGAGAUGAAGACAAUAUGCAACAUGGUAUGUCCAUUAUAGGACACUGUGGGCUAUAAAUGUGUUCUUUGGCCUGAAGAAAUAAAACUUGGUGGUCCAAGUUGAUGUCUUAUCAUCUGUUCCAGUUCUUUUAUGGUAUUUUUGGCAUUUGAAUCUAAUGACUAUGCAAAGCCCAGUCCAGAGAAUGUGUCAGGACCCAUUAUAGCCUCCCAGGGAUACUGGCUUCAGUCUGGUAUAAUCUACUUGUUAGCUAUGAGUGGUGCCUUCCCACUGGGAACCUGCCCCAUAGCCACCUGCGGUC
rnacentral:lncRNA from 1 species